UUCCGGUUGAUCCUGCCGGAGGCUACCGCUAUUGGAGUUCGAUUAAGCCAUGCGAGUCGCGAGAAUUAGAUUCUCGGCGUACCGCUCAGUAACACGUGGGUAACCUGCCCUAUGCUGGAUAAUAACCUCGGGAAACUGAGAAUAAUGAUCUAUAGUUCACUACGCCUGGAACGGUGAGUGGAUGAAAGCCCCGGCGGCAUAGGAUGGGCCUGCGGCGUAUCAGGUUGUAGGGGGUGUAAUGUACCCUCUAGCCCUCUACGCGUACGGGUGUUGAGAGACAUCGCCCGGAGAUGGAUUCUGAGACACGAAUCCAGACCCUACGGGGUGCAGCAGGCGCGAAAACUUGGCAAUGCGAGAAAUCGUGACCAGGGAACUCCAAGUGCAUGGGGUAAGACCUAUGCUUUUCUAGACUCUAAAAAGGUCUUGGAAUAAGAGGUGGGUAAGGACGGUGCCAGCCGCCGCGGUAAUACCGGCGCCUCAAGUGGUAGUCGCUUUUAUUGGGCCUAAAACGUCCGUAGCCGGUCUGAUACAUUCGUGGGUAAAUCAACCAGCUUAACUGGUUGAAUUCUGCGAGGACGGUCAGACUUGGGACCGGGAGAGGUGUGGGGUACGCUCAGGGUAGGGGUAAAAUCCUGUCAUCCUGAGCGGACCACCUGUUGCGAAGGCGCCACACUAGAACGGAUCCGACGGUCAGGGACGAAGCCUAGGGGCACGAACCGGAUUAGAUACCCGGGUAGUCCUAGGUGUAAACGCUGUGGACUUGAUGUUGGGGGUGCUCCGAGCACUCUCAGUGUCGAAGCGAAGGCGAUAAGUCCACUGCCUGGGAAGUACGGUCGCAAGGCUGAAACUUAAAGGAAUUGGCGGGGGAGCACCGCAACCUGAGGAUUGUGCGGUUUAAUUGGAUUCAACGCCGGA
rnacentral:rRNA from 1 species